AGUGAACGCUGGCGGCAGGCCUAACACAUGCAAGUCGAACGGCAGCACAAGAGGGCUUGCUCUCUGGGUGGCGAGUGGCGGACGGGUGAGGAAUGCAUCGGAAUCUGCCCAUUUGUGGGGGAUAACCUCGGGAAACCGGGACUAAUACCGCAUACGACCUACGGGUGAAAGCAGGGGAUCUUCGGACCUUGCGCAGAUGGAUGAGCCGAUGCCGGAUUAGCUAGUUGGAGGGGUAAAGGCCCACCAAGGCGACGAUCCGUAGCUGGUCUGAGAGGAUGAUCAGCCACACUGGGACUGAGACACGGCCCAGACGCCCACGGGAGGCAGCAGUGGGGAAUAUUGGACAAUGGGCGCAAGCCUGAUCCAGCCAUGCCGCGUGUGUGAAGAAGGCCUUCGGGUUGUAAAGCACUUUUGUUGGGAAAGAAAAGCAGCCGGUUAAUACCCGGUUGUCAUGACGGUACCCAAAGAAUAAGCACCGGCUAACUUCGUG
rnacentral:rRNA from 1 species